UUCGGAAUUACUGGGCGUAAAGGGCUCGCAGGUGGCCAACUAAGUCAGACGUGAAAUCCCUCAGCUUAACUGGGGAACUGCGUCUGAUACUGGAUGGCUUGAGAUUGGGAGAGGGAUGCGGAAUUCCAGGUGUAGCGGUGAAAUGCGUAGAUAUCUGGAGGAACACCGGUGGCGAAGGCGGCAUCCUGGACCAACACUGACACUGAGGAGCUAAAGCCAGGGGAGCAAACGGG
rnacentral:rRNA from 1 species